rnacentral:rRNA from 1 species
UAGGGAAUCUUCCGCAAUGGACGCAAGUCUGACGGAGCAACGCCGCGUGAGUGAAGAAGGAUUUCGGUUCGUAAAACUCUGUUGUUAGAGAAGAACAGCGCAUAGAGUAACUGUUAUGCGUGUGACGGUAUCUAACCAGAAAGCCACGGCUAACUACGUGCCAGCAGCCGCGGUAAUACGUAGGUGGCAAGCGUUGUCCGGAUUUAUUGGGCGUAAAGCGAGCGCAGGCGGUCAAUUAAGUCUGAUGUGAAAGCCCCCGGCUCAACCGGAGAGGGUCAUUGGAAACUGGUUGACUUGAGUGGAGAAGAGGAGAGAGGAAUUCCAUGUGUAGCGGUGAAAUGCGUAGAUAUAUGGAGAAACACCAGUGGCGAAGGCGACUCUCUGGUCUGUAACUGACGCUGAGGCUCGAAAGCGUGGGUAGCAAACAGG